rnacentral:snRNA from 1 species
GUGCUAGCUUCAGCAGCACAUAUACUAAAAUUGGAACAAUACAGAAAAGAUUAGCAUGGCCCUGCGCAAGAAUGACACGCAAAUUUGUGAAGCGUUCCAUAUUAAA